rnacentral:tRNA from 1 species
GCCCCUAUAGCUCAGUGGUAGAGCGUUCCACUCGUACCACAUGGUCACAGCGUGAUCUAGUGAAAUCCGAUAUGGAGAGGUCCAUCGUUCAAUCCGGUGUGGGGGCA